rnacentral:lncRNA from 1 species
UCCCAGUCUACGCAACGUCAUUCCUCCCGUGGGUUCAUCGGGUGGGCAUUGUGUCCUUGAAUCAGCCCAGUUUGCCCCCUAGAACCUAACUUCCCCAGGCAGUGUCUAUAAUUGUAAGUCAGCCCCUCACCGGAUGCUUUCUGCUAAGCUUCUCUGACCCAAGGGAAAGAAUGCCCAGGAGCCCGGAGCCCUAGGAAACCAAGACCAAGAGGUAGAAUUGGAGAAGAAAUUGAUCAUUUAGAGGGAGGGCCAAAAGUUGCUGUUGGAAUCGGAGAGACGGCAUAUCACUUAAGAGUGCUUACAGCUCUUACUGAGGACUGGAGUUUCGUUCCCAAGUCAGAUGACUCACAACUGCCUGUAACUUCAGCUCCAGAGGAUCCAGUGGUUUUUUCUGGUCUCCACUGGCGUCUAAAGAAGAACAGGAGUAUCAGGAGGUCAAAGCCAGAUAGGACUACAGAGGGGAUUGUAGGUCAGCCUCGGCCACAGAUUGAGACUGGACAAACAAAAGAGAACCAGGACAGUUCCGAGUUUACAGGGCAUUCUGUCUGUGGUCAGAGUCAGCAGCAGGAACCAUCCUUGUUUUCUCUUGUCUCUGAGAUGCUGUGGGGGCUCAGAUCCCUACUUCUGCUGCAUUUGGGGUUCCUUUCUCCAGUUUUGGUUGAUACCAAGAAGACAGCAGUGGAAGAUGGUCUAUGCAGUACAGUCCCUUGUGUGAUUGAAUUUUCCAAGGCGCCUCUCAGAAAACCCAUGAUUGUGAGCUAUAGGCUUAAUGAAA